GAGGUAACGGCUCACCAAACCUUUGACCGGUACGGGCCAUGAGAGUGGUAGCCCGGAGAUGGACACUGAGAUAGGGGUCCAGGCCCUACGGGGCGCAGCAGGCGCGAAAACUCCACACUGUACGUAAGUACGAUGGGGUUACCUCGAGUGUAGUCUGUAAAAGAUUGCUUUUCCAUAGAGUAAUAUCCUGUGGGAAUAAGAGGGGGGCAAGACUGGUGUCAGCCGCCGCGGUAACACCAGCCCCUCGAGUGGUAGGGACUUUUAUUUGGCCUAAAGCGUUCGUAGCCGUCUGUAACCGUUGCCCGUUAAAUCCAGCGUCUCAAGCGUUGGACUGCGGGCGAUACCUUACAGAUUGAGGGUGGGAUAGGUAAGCGGUAUUUCUGGGGUAGGGGCGAAAUCCUUUGAUCCCAGGAGGACCACCAGUGGCGAAGGCUGCUUACUAGAACACGCCUGAUGGUCAGGAACGAAAGCUGGGGUAGCGAACCGGAUUAGAUACCCGGGUAGUCCCAGCUGUAAACGAUGCGCGCUAGGUGUUGGGUCGGCCAUGCGCCGCCCCAGUGCCGCAGGGAAGCCGUUAAGCGCGCCGCCUGGGGAGUACGGCCGCAAGGCUGAAACUUAAAGGAAUUGGCGGGGGAGCAC
rnacentral:rRNA from 1 species